GGGUACGAGGGUACUCCAGCUACAACAGCUGUCACUCCGUUGAUCCCCAGGGUUGAUCAGGUUGCCGUGGCUGGCUGGCUGGGUGGUCCCUGCCUCCGUCACCACUCCAUGCGUAGCAACUUCCCAAACUGCUGCCCUGGGACAAGGGAGGAGCCUGCUUGUGUCAAGGCUGUACCAGGAGUUGUCUGUUGUCUCCCUAGACCCUCCAAACAGCUUUUGAGAAUAUUUUGUGUCUGAUGGUGUACGCACAUGUAUGUGUAGGUGUGUGUGUGUCC
rnacentral:snRNA from 1 species